rnacentral:rRNA from 1 species
UUCUCUGAUGUUAGCGGCGGACGGGUGAGUAACACGUGGAUAACCUACCUAUAAGACUGGGAUAACUUCGGGAAACCCGGAGCUAAUACCGGAUAAUAUUUUGAACCGCAUGGUUCAAAAGUGAAAGACGGUCUUGCUGUCACUUAUAGAUGGAUCCGCGCUGCAUUAGCUAGUUGGUAAGGUAACGGCUUACCAAGGCAACGAUGCAUAGCCGACCUGAGAGGGUGAUCGGCCACACUGGAACUGAGACACGGUCCAGACUCCUACGGGAGGCAGCAGUAGGGAAUCUUCCGCAAUGGGCGAAAGCCUGACGGAGCAACGCCGCGUGAGUGAUGAAGGUCUUCGGAUCGUAAAACUCCGUUAUUAGGGAAGAACAUAUGUGUAAGUAACUGUGCACAUCUUGACGGUACCUAAUCAGAAAGCCACGGCUAACUACGUGCCAGCAGCCGCGGUAAUACGUAGGUGGCAAGCGUUAUCCGGAAUUAUUGGGCGUAAAGCGCGCGUAGGCGGUUUUUUAAGUCUGAUGUGAAAGCCCACGGCUCAACCGUGGAGGGUCAUUGGAAACUGGAAAACUUGAGUGCAGAAGAGGAAAGUGGAAUUCCAUGUGUAGCGGUGAAAUGCGCAGAGAUAUGGAGGAACACCAGUGGCGAAGGCGACUUUCUGGUCUGUAACUGACGCUGAUGUGCGAAAGCGUGGGGAUCAAACAGGAUUAGAUACCUGGUAGUCCACGCCGUAAACGAUGAGUGCUAAGUGUUAGGGGGUUUCCGCCCCUUAGUGCUGCAGCUACGCUAAGCACUCCGCCUGGGGA